UACAGAGGUGGCAAGCGUUGUUCGGAAUUACUGGGCGUAAAGGGCUCGUAGGCGGCCAACUAAGUCAGACGUGAAAUCCCUCGGCUUAACCGGGGAACUGCAUCUGAUACUGGAUGGCUUGAGUUCGGGAGAGGGAUGUGGAAUUCCAGGUGUAGCGGUGAAAUGCGUAGAUAUCUGGAGGAACACCGGUGGCGAAGGCGGCAUCCUGGACCGACACUGACGCUGAUGAGCGAAAGCCAGGGGAGCAAACGGG
rnacentral:rRNA from 1 species